CGCUCUCCUAAGAGCAGCGGCUGGGUCUCCCUGUGGUGAGGCUUCAGAGCCCGGGGUGGGCCCCCCACACCGAUGCCACGCGUACUGCGCUCCGCUUCACUUUUGGCUUUGAGAGGAGAGAUGGCGGCAGGCGUUGGAGGCAGACUGCUGACACGGCCGCUGCAGCUGGAGCUGGAGAGGAGCAAGUGGCAAAAGGAAAUGCAAUUCCCUGUUCGAAUACUCUCAGCAGAAGCCUCCGUCUCUGUAGACAUCUGCGAUGUGUGUACUGAAGUGGUUGAACAUCCUUGGAUUACCCAUGAUGAGAAAGUGCUUUCUAUGAAACAAAAAUAAAUGAACUGUGACACUGAAAGGCUAAAGGCAGCCCAAAAACCUCAGUGCUGAUCAGAUAUGCAAUACAAUGGCAUUUGUGAGCAGAUCAAGCAAGACUAUGGGGUCCAGGACUUAAUUGAGAGCCAUGUAAUAAGUAAAUAAUGAAUCUACAGCUAGAUCGCCAGCCUUUUGUCCCUUAGUGUAGUUAUUUCUCCAUGCUAGUAUAUGCUAUUCUAGUCUACAGCUAACAGAAGACUUACAAUCAACUUGAAUAUUCAGAUAUAGAUGUAGGAAAUAAUAUGAGUAAAAUAUGCAGUAUAAUUAAGUGCUAUAUGUGUAGCAGAGAUAAAGCAUUAGACUGUUAAAAGUUUCAGUAUGAAUAUAAAGGCAUUUGGUAUAGUUUUAUCAGUGGGAGGAAUAGUUUAAAUAUGUAAGAGCGAAUGGCUAGUCAUGAUUUGGCAUUUUCUGUAGGAAAUAUAUGUUGGAUAUUAGACGAUUGAGUUCACACCCAGACAUACAGGGUCGUACGUCACGUCAACGUUGUGAGAUGAUGUGUCACGUCCGUAUUUUAUGGACACACACUGAGUAAGUGGAUGAAGUGUGGUAUAACAGCAGUGGCAUAAGAAGCUGCAGAAUUGUCUCACAAGAUUGUAUAAGGGAUUAAAUGACAUACUAAGUGAGAGACUAUACGUGAAGGCAUUUUGUAAAUUAUGAUAUGUGACACAAGUGACAGGUAAUAUCUCAUAUCUUCUAUAGACCUUAUACCUUAAAUGACUUUUUAUAUAAUUCUGUCUUCUUAUAUUAAGAGAUACAUGUUCACUAUUUUAUUCUUAUUAUGAAUACUUUUUUAUGGAUGAGGAAACAGAGAUUCAAAGAGGUAAAGUGAGUUUUCAGUAAUCACAUAGUUAUUAAGUAGAGAAGCCAGGGCACAGGUAUAUAGGUAGAUAUAGAUACAGAUAUAGAUAUAGAUAUAUAGAUAUAGAUAUCUGUCUGAUUCUAAGCUGUGCUCAGUUUAAUUGAGAUAACACAUUUUAAAACUGUAGGUAUAGGCUUCCAGGAACCUUUCUAAGGAUCAGAUUGAGAGGUUUUAGAAUAGGUGGUUGGACUACGUAAUUUCUAGAGUAACUUUUAGCCACUAUGUUAGAUAAUUCAGAGUUUUCUUUUAGACAAAAUAUAAUAUAAGCCUGUUAUUUGCAGUGUAUGCCUUUUUUUCUUAUUUUUUUAAUUGAGGUGUGAUUGACAUAUUAUAUGCUUUUUACAUAGAAAUUAGACACUGAAUCUCCAUCAUUAAUAUUGUAAAUAAAUAUGAUAAAUGGAUUCUAUAAACUAAAGAU
rnacentral:lncRNA from 1 species